UACGUAGGGUGCGAGCGUUGUCCGGAAUUAUUGGGCGUAAAGGGCUCGUAGGCGGUUUGUCACGUCGGGAGUGAAAACCCAGGGCUUAACCCUGGGCCUGCUUCCGAUACGGGCUGACUAGAGGUAUGCAGGGGAGAACGGAAUUCCUGGUGUAGCGGUGAAAUGCGCAGAUAUCAGGAGGAACACCGGUGGCGAAGGCGGUUCUCUGGGCAUUACCUGACGCUGAGGAGCGAAAGCGUGGGGAGCGAACAGG
rnacentral:rRNA from 1 species